AUGGAGCUGCAGCAUCCCUCAGUCUCGGGCCCUGGGAGGGGGAAGGGAAAAGACCGAGCAGUGGAGGGAAGAGGGAGCCAUUUCUCUCCACUGGCUGCAACCUCCGUGCUCACAGCUCACGUUUGCCUGGAAUCCAGGGGCUUCCUCAGCCAAGGACUCCAUAAUGCUGGAUAUUUUCAUCCUGAUGUUCUUUGCUAUCAUAGGCCUGGUCAUUCUGUCCUACAUUAUCUAUCUGCUCUAGUGGCCUGCAGCUGCGGCGGGGAGCCCUCAGAACAGCUCAGGAUGAAGCUGACUGGCCGAGCAUCCUGCUUUGCUGACGCACCGGUGGAUUUUUGCUUCUGGUCAUUAUUUCGGCUCCUGGUCUCCAGUCCAACCAGAGGCCUCUUAUCAGCAGCAACCGUCCUGCUGCCCAGCAGACCUCUUCCAGAGCCUUCCGGAUAUGGUUAACCACUGGCGAGCAAGGGGCUUUUUGAGCUCCGAGGCAGAGGCCCUCAGCUGGGACCUCAGGAAUUCGUGGGCAUGCCUGGCAGAUGCCGUGUGCGUUCGAGCCGUAUGUAGAUAGAGGGUGUUGAGGACCCGGAGCUGAAAUGCAGACUCAUUAAAGUUACCAUGGAGAACUGCUCAAAUACUCAUCCUGACAGCCUUUCUUUAGGUGUAAGUGCAACAUAUGAUGCUAAAAUAUGUUCUUUCCUUUCCCUCUCACACGCAGGGGGUCCCUUGUAAGUUCAAGAGCACAUCUGUCUUCGUCUAUGAAGUAGUCACCUUGUCACUGUCUUACAGACUGCAGUGUGACCUUGUGUGGUGGCCCUUGUCUUGCUCUCCAGCCAGAAGGAACUUGUUGUUUGAAUUUUUAAGAUUUAUCAUAUUUUUUUCCACUCCAUACCCCACCUUCUCAUUUCAAGAGAGAAAUGGUUAUAUGGUCCUCAUUCUUUGUGACUGGCUGAAUUAUAAAUUAUUGAAAUAGGGUAGUUAUACCUCAUCUUACUUGUUAUUUGGGGGGAAAAAAAUCUCUCUCUUACUCCCAAAUAAAUGUUUUUUAUAUUGUCAAAUGUUCCUUGUCUGUAAAAAAAAAAAAAAAACCUUUCAACAUUUUUGGGGGGGGUCCAAUUAGGGUUGAGGAAACCAUAUAUUGUGGAAUUCAGGGUAGACGUGGGCCCCAAAUCUGUGGUAACUGUUCCAUUGAAAAGUCCAUCAUAUUUGUUCUACAUUUGAUUUUCCUUUCUAGCUUAAAAAUAAACAAGGAGAAAGAUUAA